ACUACCUACUAAAAUAUAAUUGGUAUCCUAUUUAAUACUUUGUAAAAUUUGGAGAAGGCUCAUACUAUCGUUUAGGUAUGACCUUAUGUAAGGAGUGUUGAAGGAUAAUAUCUACAUACUCAGACAGAUUGGAUAAAACUGAAUGAAUCUUAGAGACAAUUGGACAUCCCAGCGGUUUAUUGGAAAUGUUAUGAAUUUUGGGUAACAAAUAUAUUACUG